rnacentral:sRNA from 2 species
CCGAACCUGCCGCAGGUUCGGGUCUCACGUAGUGAGACAACGGAGCCGCUUGCGGCGACGGCCCGAAGGGCGAGCGAAGCGAGUCAUCCUGCACGACCCACCA